UGAUGUAGAGCCGUCAGGUGACUGUUCCAAAACGGAAACAAAAUUGCUUCGUAUCCGUUAAGCUGGUUCAAAAGUGCGAGUCCUGGGGCUUUUUGAACUUGCGAGUGUGUCUCAUAUUCCAAGAUUAAAUAACAAGCCCGAAACAGCAGUCAGAAAGGGGCGCCGGAGAAUAUAGUUGCUUUGCAUCUGAUCUUGAGCUAGAUUUCUCCGGUCAGCUAGCCAGCGACGGCGCGACCCGAACCGUCGAUCCCUUGCACCAACUCCUGCAUGGCCGGCUAACUUCUCGAUCACUGUACGUGCGUACCAUGUCGAUCGAUCACUAGCUAGUGUGUGUGUGUGUGUGUGUGUGUGUGUGUGUGUGUGUGUGUUUCAAUCUGCUCAACAAACCUAGGCCAUGGAUUCACACUUUGGAUUUGUCAAGCUCGUAAAGGCACGUGCUGUUGAGUCACUCCGAAUCGAAUCCGGCUAAUGGUCGAUCCACAACCGCGUGGCGUGGUCUGAAAAGGUGGGGAGAGAACCUUGUGUACUAUCUACUAUGCUCUAUCUACGUGCUCUCCGCGUGCCUGUUGCGACGGUGGGAGUGGCCAGCAGCUAGCCGGCGGUGUGUAUAUAUAGAUAGGACCUUGGGGCGUCGAGACGAGCAGAGAGGCACCCAUCAGCAUCCAGCAGAAACCAUCGAUCGAUCGAUCGCCGGACACAGCAUCGAUUCUCCUCGCACACGCACAUACGGAUUCAGUCGAUCGAUAGAUAUACGUGAUGGAGAAUGAGAGGAACAACCAGGCUCCACCCCUACCCCCAGGCUACUACCCAUCCGCGGCUGCGGAGCAACGUCAAGGCGGCGGCGAAAAGGGAUUCAUCCAAGGAUGCCUGGCCGCGCUCUGCUGCUGCUGGAUCUGCGACAUGUGCUGCGACUAACUCGCCGGUCGCUGCCGGCACAAGACGUUGGUGCUAGUAUAGACCUAUGAAGAGCAUACACACAGAGAGACUCGUUGCUUAGUUAGUGUUUGUUUGUUGUUUUAGGUAGUGCAAAAAAUACCCCGCAAAAAAAAGGUAGUGCAGAAAAUAACCGAGAACGCAUGCGUGAGUGGUGUCCAUGUAACUUACCGUGCGUAUCGAUAAUUCUACACCUACGAAAGUUCUACGUAGGGUUACGUAA